rnacentral:rRNA from 1 species
ACGCUCGACACCUACUGGAGGCAGCAGUUGGGAAUAUUGGACAAUGGAGGAAACUCUGAUCCAGUGACGCCGCGUGAAGGAAGAAGGUCUUCGGAUUGUAAACUUAUUUUGUCAGGGAAGAAAAAUGACUGUACCUGAAGAAAAAGCACCGGCUAACUACGUGCCAGUAGCCGCGGUAAUCUGAGCGGGCUGGCAAGGC